AAUAUCACAUGACUUAGGAAAACCUACUAACUCUUUUUGUUUUUUUUUCACUCUGCCUCUCAGUGUUCUCUGUUUCUUCUUAAAGCAGGAAGCACAUGCUAAGAAACUAGCAGCGCAGGCUUACACUUCCAAAGUCCUGUGGCAGAGCAUGGAGGUUCUCUGAGCUCUACCUCCCUCUCUUCCUCUUUAUCCAUUGGCCCCACAACAGAAGAGGGUAGGAAGGAUCAAGGAAUGGUGUAAGCCUAUAAUCAAUCAAUCUCUCUCUCUCUCUCUCUCUCUCUCCCUCUCUCUCUCUCUCUCUCUGCUCCUCUCUCUUUCCCUGUCCCUCUCUCUGUCCUCCCUGUCCCUCUCCUUCUCCCUGUCCCUCUUCCUGUCCCUGUCCCUCUCCCUCUCUUUGUCUCUCUCUCAAAGGGAACUCUACUUCAAGAAUGUCUAAAUACAAAUACAGAAGAGCACACAGGUUUUAUCUUUAUGUGUUCUUAUGUAAGUUAUUUUAUCUGCUCAGAUUUUUUUUCUUGAGUUCAGGCAAAAACCAGGAGUGCUGUGUCUAGUCUUUCUCAUGCAUGUGAUGUAUUCGGGGGGAAAAAAAAAAAAGCAGAGGGUUGUCCUUCAUUAUCAGAGCUGGACUGGAAACCAUUUCAAUUUCAAUACAAGUGACUGCCAGUCUCUUUAUCAUGUUCGAAAUGUCUGAGGUUAAAUGGAGUUUGCGGGAUGAGAACUAGACACUUUGGUUUUUUUCAAAACAGCACUAUUUUUCUUGAUUCUCAGAUCAAGUCUCUUUGUCUUUAGGCCCCAUACAUAUCUUGCUCUCAUUCCCAUGUUAAUGAAACUGCUAAUUUACAUUUGAAGGGCCCCAAACUCACCAGGAAAAUUACUAAUCAAAUUGAACUUUCAGGGUCUGAUUUAAUUUGGUGGCAUUAGUAGACAUGCCUUGGACUCUUGGGGAAGAAUUAUUGAAUGCUAAUUUUAAUUUGGUUGAAUAUAAUCUAAUAUAAAAUUCUACCUUGAGCAAUGGAAAAUUAAAUUACUGUUUUUGUAUCUGCAAAUAGAAACUUUGUGUGUUUAGUACAGUUUUUGUUUACUUAGGAUAGAAAUAAAUUUUCAAUCUAUGUUUAAGAAAUAGAAAUCUCGCCAUGGUUGUAUUAUGGUAGAUAAAAACCUAAAGAGCAAAUCAGCCCUGGGGCUUUGGUAGGGAAAAACCAUUAGAUGGGUCCCCUCACCUGUUAAACCCAGCUGUCCAUAGUGAGAUUCAGCUUUGUUUGAGAGUGUUUUCUAUGGAAAUCUUAGCAGGAAACUCUAAACUGUUGGUGACAAGAGUAGACUAUUUUAUAAACCACGCCGUGACCAGGAUCAAGUAUCAGUGGACAGAUUCAAGCCCCCAUUCUCCUCUUUCAGAUAUUCAGUUUGGUGGCAUUUUGUAAAACUAUCUAUCCUUUUCCAUUGCCAAGCUGACUAAUCUGCUGGUCUGUUGACACCAUCUGUCUGAAGAAUCCGAGGCGACUACCCAACAGUUUUGGUUCAGUUUUCAAUAGAAACACAUUCUUCAAGUGUCUCUUUUUUUUUUUUCCUUCUUCUUCUUAAUCUCCUAAGUUUUAACAUUGUGAAUCACCUUGGAAUUUCCCCUCUUCUCUUUCUCUUCCUCUCCAACUCGUCUCCUCUCCCUAUUGUCCAAACAUUCUAUUAACGUUGUUUUCAGGAUAGUGGCAUUUAUGUACUAGUACAGACCAUUACAUUGGAUGUAGGACUCUCAUUUUACAGAGGACUGAUAGAGCAUAUCUGAAGUCUUGGGGUGGAUCCCUAGUAUGAAAAGAAAAAGAAAGAGAAAAAGAAAAAGAAAGAGAAACUGAGAUGGGUAAAGACUCUGCAUGUGUGUACACUUCUGUACAUAUGUGAGUAUGUGUGUGUGUGUGUGUGUGUUUGGAGGAUAUUGUAUUGAACCACAAUAUAAAUAUGCUCACAAUAAAUAUGUUAUAUUUAUGUAACUUCCUUUAUCUAAGCAAAUCCAAUUCAUAAACACAAUCUCCUCCCUUGCUGGUUAAAGCAAUCUUGGAAGUCCCCCAGAGCUCAUUCUGGUGGCUUUGUCACGCUUUAUGGGUGGUGCUUGGAGGCUGUGUCACUUCAUUUUCUCAUGGCUGUGACAAAGUACCAAAUGGGAGAAACUUAGGGGAAGAAGGAUUGAUUGUGGCUCAGGAUUUAAGAGAUGAAGUAUUUCAGGGCAAGAAGACACUGCAGCUGCAAUCUGACAUGGCUGGUUCCAUUGUGCCCUUGUUGGAGAAGCAGACUGAGGGAGAUACUUGGCCUCAGUUUGCCUUCUCCUUCUCUCUCUUCCUUUUCUUCAGUUCCAGCACCCAGCCUUGGUGAUGCUGCUACCAGCACAGCAAAGGUUAUUCUUCAUCUGGUCAUGAUGACAAUGAAUGUUAACUCUCACAGC
rnacentral:lncRNA from 1 species